CCCCGCACAGACGCACGCCGGAGCUUGCCUAAAACGCCAAGCGAGCGUGAAGCCCAGAUAGACACGCGAGGUGGUCGGGGGGCUGCAGAGCCCGCUGUUACUGAACGAGCAUGUUAGGCCCCCUCGUCGGGCGGGAAACGGGGCAGGCUCCAGCAGCUUCGCACUCGAUGCAGAAUCAGUGACCGUACGAGAGGGGAGGGGGCCAUAGGGACCCGCCUGUGUGACGGAGGAAGCUGAGCCGGGCCGAUGUUUACUACUCCAGGGCGGAUACGGAUGAGGGGAAGCUUUCCGCCAGCGAUCGAGAAUGAGGGACAGUUUUCCUCAAAAGCAAGACGCUGCAGCGUGGCCCAAAGGCGAGAGGCGCCAGAGCUGGCCAUCCCCCCAUCUAACCAGCCGGCUUUUGUGUGCCUCCAUCACCAAACCUGCCGCCGCACAUCAAGCCUGACCCCGGCUAAUGCUAAUGGACAUGGGAUCAAAGCCCAGGCAGUACGAAGUCCUGCCCUGGCCAGACUGAUAGAUACCAGAGGAAUGUAGCUUUCAUGCUUCGUUGCUGUGUCUGUGUACGAAGAAAUGCCACCUGGAGAGUGAAGAACGAGGGGGGGAGGGGGCGUCGUUCAUGUUUUAAUUAAGUAAAUUAAUUGAUCACCGUGUUUUGCGUUGCUCUGUAUCAGGGCAGCGUUCGUGUUUCCUUGCGAAACAAAGCCAGCCGCACUGGGGGAUUAGAGCACAUCGAGGCAAUUAGGUAAUGAGAGUUGUGAAGGGGGAGUGUAGCAGCCUCACAUGCUUCCCCAGUGUUAACACUCUGGAAAUCUGCCGCGGCUGCAGUGUGUUUUUGCAGGCUUCUUUCCUUGUGGCGAAGGUGCGCGCACGAGUCCAUGUUUUUCUAACCAUUACAAAUCCCUAUUCCUAGGUUGUGUGACUCUGUUUUCCACGGCUACGUUUUACGGUUCAUCUGUGUGCGAUGGGAUCCCGGCGCUUCUCACCCUUGUUUGUGCAAAGCCCCAGUUGAUGAACGGCUCUCAAUUAGAGGAGGUCCCUGCUUGUUUACGAGAACCAAAAUUAGUCAUCUCACUGGGCUUACACGCACAACAACAAACAGCGGGAUCAAUUUGUCCCUUGC